ACGGAGGAAAAGAAACUAACAAGGAUUCCCCUAGUAACGGCGAGUGAAGAGGGAAGAGCCCAAGAUUGAAAGCUGGCGUCUUCGGCGUCCGCAUUGUAAUCUCAAGAAGUGUUUUCCGCUUCGGACCAUGCCUAAGUCCCUUGGAAAAGGGCAUCAUAGAGGGUGAUAAUCCCGUACAUGGCAUGGAGCGCCCGAAGCUUUGUGAUACGCUUUCUAAGAGUCGAGUUGUUUGGGAAUGCAGCUCAAAAUGGGUGGUAAAUGCCAUCUAAGGCUAAAUAUUGGGGAGAGACCGAUAGCGAACAAGUACAGUGAUGGAAAGAUGAAAAGAACUUUGAAAAGAGAGUUAAACAGUACGUGAAAUUGCCAAAAGGGAAGGGUAGGAGGUCAGAGAUGCGUUCUGGGAUUCAGCCUUGCUUUUGCUUGGUGUUUUUCCCAAAUUGCAGGCCAACGUCGGUUUUGGGCGCUGGAGAAGGGUGGAAGGAACGUGGCACCCCUCGGGGUGUGUUAUAGCCUUCUACUGGAUACAGUGACCGAGACCGAGGACAGCAGCGUACUCGCAAGAGCGGGCCUUCGGGCACCUUUACGCUUAGGGCGUUGGCAUAAUGGCCCUCUACCACCCGUCU
rnacentral:rRNA from 1 species